rnacentral:rRNA from 1 species
UACGAAGGGGGCUAGCGGUUGCUCGGAAUCACUGGGCGUAAAGCGCACGUAGGCGGAUUGUUAAGUCAGGGGUGAAAUCCUGGAGCUCAACUCCAGAACUGGCCUUUGAUACUGGCGAUCUCGAGUCCGGGAGAGGUGAGUGGAACUGCGAGUGUAGAGGUGAAAUUCGUAGAUAUUCGCAAGAACACCAGUGGCGAAGGCGGCUCACUGGCCCGGUACGUGACUGACUGAGGUGCG